rnacentral:tRNA from 1 species
GGGGCCUUAGCUGGGGUGGGAGAGCGCCUGCUUUGCACGCAGGAGGUCAGCGGUUCGAUCCCGCUAGGCUCCACCA